CAGACAUCUGUAGGCUGCACCUGGCGAUCACACCUUUGUUUUCCCCUUUCUUGCAUGCCAGUGCUCCUUCUGGCACCAAUAUCGAUCAUUUAGUGCUUCAGACUUUGAUGUCCUGUGGGUUGAUUUUGCAGUAUGGGAAGUGACAGAAAGCCCAAGUAUAAUUUGCUUUUAUUUACACAUCACUGGCAGCUGGGAGCAGCAGAAGGCAAUUCCUUGCUCAGCAGUCUCAGCCCAGCACCAGUGCCUGAUUUCCAGGGAGCCAUUUCUGCCUGAAGAAUUGAGUCUAAUCAAGGCCCAAGGCAGAGAACACACACUCCUGCUGCUUGCAAAACCAUGUUCUCCCUCAAGCAAUGCCUCUGCACGGAGCCUGGCAGACCAAUGCUAGAGGUACACGGUGUCCCUAUCUGAAGCUAAAAUAGAAGGACCAGCACAAAAAGCCUUUUGCAUGCUUUGUUUUUCUUGUAACAAACAACCGGACUUGCCAUCUCCUGAGAUACAAAAUUAUUGAAUAUAUGCAGAGAUAGUAUUGGUGGUUAUAGUCUAAAGAAACCCACAUUUAAGGUUCUGGACAGAUUGCCUUUGUGUUUAGUUUAGGGAAUAAGCAAAGGAUAACCACCCAUCCUUCAGACAAAGGGAACAGUGCAAACAUUGUGCUGAGACACCGAGUGCUGUCUUCCAGCAGUUACUGCAUGAACAACAAAAUACAUCCCUUCUAAGUGUCCAAUCUUAAAAAAAAGGCUUUCCAAAACUUACCUUUCACAAACAGUGAGAGCCCUCCAGUGCCAUCUCCAUGUGAUGCUGCUGGCACCCUAGCUGAGCUGUUUGCCGUUGCAGCCAUGCUCUGCAGGGAAAAGCAAAUGGAUGCAAUGCUUGACUGAAGGAAGGCCUUUCAGUGAUUUGGAAGACUGAGCAGAGGUGGCAGGGGGAGGAUUUCCCAGCUCUGCUGUGUAUGUUGAGGUGUGAGAGUUGUAUGUCUUCCACAACUGUUCAGAUUAAUCCUGAGACGUGACUGCACCAGAGAUCCCUGCUCUUUGUUCUUACGGACACAGACGUUUUUAAUUUCACUCUUGCAUUCUGUUAGCCACCAUGAAUUGUUCCAUCAUGGCCGAAAGGGUGAAAGCUGUUUUUCCAUCUGUGCCUGUAAGCCAUGCAAACUCUAGCUUUUGAUAUAAAUAAGCCCGAGCGACAAGAUCCAACAGAUCUCCAGAAUUUUCUGCCUUUACCAGCAUCGCUAAUUCACGCGCUAUAAAGUUAUCAGCAUAAGACUAAUAAAGCAGAGAGUUCUAUAAAAGUGGCAAGUGAGUCAUUGCAAUUGCUUCAGGCAGCGUAACCUACUUCUGCAUUCAGACACAGAUGGGAAAGAUUUACUCAUUGUCUCCAUUUUAGGUGCCUGCAAAAGAAGGCAAAGCACAAAAGGAAUCUUGCUUCCUCUCCAGUUUGUCCUCCCCUUCAACCCCAGCAGCAAAAAAAUCAAAUCAGCUCCCUUUAAAGGAGAGGGAUCUCAGUGGGACUGCACUGUAAGGCAAAAUAGACCUUUAUUAACUAAAAUUAUAUCGCAGUUUAGGGGAGAAGCAUAACAAUCUAAAGACAUUGUGAAUUUCAGAAACCCAAAAUAUAGACAUUUUAAGAUGUUUUUCAUAUUUAUUAGAUCUGGAAAAUGUGUUACUUUAGAGAUAAGGCAAAAGUUUUCAUAGUGAGAGACGUUUUCUGGCCUCUCUCUGCUCUGAUUUAAGUGAUGCAGCACCCAAGGGCUCUGCUUGUUUAUUAAAGGCAUCUGGUUUAUUUCCAGAAUAAAAAUAAAAAUUUUAAAAAAACAACCUUAAAUAAAUGCAUGGCAGAACUGGAAGGACGGGGUUAUUUAAGUCUGUGCCAUGGCUGGAGUCUGGCCCUCCCCUCUCUGAAUGUGGCUGUUGCUCACACUGGCAGCUGUGCUAACUCCUAGAGCUUCUUUACUGAGUGAGAGGCACGGAGUACAUCUACUGUGCAGUUCACAAGUGUGGUUUUAGCUUGUGCAAACAAACCUGAACGAGCUGUAAAGCAGGAACAAAACUGCCUAAAGCCAGCGGAUGAGCUCUCGGCUGCCUGAGCCCAAAGUGCCCCAGCUGUAGGCAGACGCAGGCCAGGUGGUGGGAUACCACUUUGGGUACAUCUGUAUGGGGCAGCAUGGGCCUGAGAUACCCAAGAGCUGACAGGCUUCUGACUUGUGUAUAUUGCUGCUUUCUGCCCAAAACCUUAUCCAGCUGAAUUCUGAGAAAUUGCUUUAUUUGCCUGGCAUAUUUGAGUACCCACUGUAUCUGUCACCAAUGGAAGGUGCAGUGCUUCUGCACACAGAUCGUGUCAUGCACAGUAAGGCCAACAUUGUCUCUCAACAUCUGACCAAAUGUUGUAAGGCUGCAACCUUGACUUCUUGACCUAUUCACAGCAGGAAUGGAAGCCUUGGUCAGAAGAUCCCAAGCCAGACUGGAUAUGCUGUGCCUCAGCCCCAGCAGGAGAGGAGGCCAGGAUGCUGCUCCCCAGGAACAUCAGUUUUAGAGCAGAAGCCACAUGAUUGCCCUCCGGGUGCAUUAAACACAUCAGAUUUUGGAAGCAUCAUACUUACUGUGACUGUAAUGUGGUGAUCAGCUGGGUCAAUGCCCAGCUGAGGCACACUAAUCAUAACAAGCUACUUGCUGCACUUGGGUAAGACUCCUUACUAGGGCAAAACUCCUGAUCCAUCAUAUAGAAUCAUAGAAUCGCUAAGGUUGGAAAAGACCCACGGGAUCAUCCAGGCCAACCAUUCACCCUUCACCAAUGGUUCUCACUAAACCAUGUCCCUCAACACAACAUCCAAAUGCUCUUUGAACACCACCAGGCUCGGUGACUCCACCACCUCUCUGGGCAGCCCAUUCCAGAGCCUGACCACCCUUUCAGAGAAGUAGUAUCAUAGAAUCAUAGAAUCGCUAAGGUUGUAUUUCCUAACGUCCAGCCUGAACCUUCCCUGACGCAGCUUGAAGCCAUUCCCUCUAGUCCUACCACUAGUCACACGAGAGAAGAGGCUGACCCCCAGCUCACUACAACCUCCCUUCAGGUAGUUAUAGAGAGCAAUAAGGUCCCCCCUGAGCCUCCUCUUCUCUAGACUGAACAAUCCCAGCUCCUUCAGCCGCUCUUCAUAAGGCCUGUGCUCCAGACCCCUCACCAGCUUAGUUGCCCUCCUCUGGACACGCUCCAGGGCCUCAAUGUCUUUCUUACAGUGAGGGGCCCAAAACUGGAUACAGUACUCCAGGUGCGGCCUCACCAGUGCUGAGUACAGGGGAAUAAUUACUUCCCUGUUCCUGCUGGCCACACUAUUUCUGAUACAAGCCAGGAUGCCGUUGGCCUUCUUGGCCACCUGGGCACACUGCUGGCUCAUGUUCAGUCUAGCGUCAAUCAACACCCCCAGGUCCAUUUCCUCUACACAGUCUUCCAGCCACUCUGCCCCAAGCCUGUAGCGUUGCCUGGGGUUUGUUGUGGCCAAAGUGCAGGACCCGACAUUUGGUCUUGUUGAAUCCCAUCCCAUUGGCUUCAGCCCAGCUAUCCAGCCUAUCCAGAUCCCUCUGUAGGGCCUCGCUACCCCCAGGCAGAUCAACACUUCCAGCCUGCUUGGUGUCAUCUGCAAACUCACUGAGGGUGCACUCAAUGCCCUCAUCCAGGUCAUCAACAAAGAUAUUAAAGAUAUUAAAAAUAUCUUUUCUUGAACAGACAAUGAAGAGACAGUCCAUACUCUGGGCAACUGCUACUUAAAAAUUCAUCUGCUUUUCAAAUCCCAAUAUGCCCAGUGUGGAGGGAAAGGAGAGAGGUACCUAACUGUCUUCAGAUGUGUUUCAUUUCCCCUGUCAUUUCAUGAAACCUGAAGCCAGAAUACUAUGAAAAGUGCAUUUGAGGCUUGAGUUUUCUUUCUUUUUAACAGUCUACUGCCUGCUUUUAAUGUUUACUGAGCUUUUGGCUGUAAAAAUGUAGCUGCAGCACAUGGUUGAGAGGUUUUUCUCAGUCUGUAGUCUCUGUCACAAAGGAAUUCCUCCUCCAGACUCCUUUGCCUUCCAUUCUGAGCUCCUCAGAGACCUCUGCUGCGGUCCCUGGCAGCAGAUCAAGGGGAAACAGCUUCAGUAAAAGCUCUCAUUGUAGCAACAAAACAUCAUUGAUCAACCAUGUUCAGUGCCAACAGCUUUUUGAAUCUGGCAUUUUUAAUGCCCAGUUUCUGCUUUCAUUCAAUUUUCAGGUAUCCUAUGUAAAGAAAGCCUCCUGAGAGGUUUUUUGUUGGUGUUGUUUUUGUUCCAUCCUCUGAGUUGAGUUUGAAACAAAAAUCUGCAGCUGAGUAGCCCUGAAAACAUCAGUCCAAAUCCAUUUCAGGCCAAGCCUGGCAGAGCCUUUUCCUGCCCUUCAUGUCUGUAGGGAAGGCAGAAGAAAAUAUGCUGAAGCACCAGCUGAAUAGUCGAACACCUGGCAGAGAGAGCUGCUCUGCUCAGCAGAGCAGCUACAGCACAGGCAGUCAACAGCUGCAGGAGAAAGGCAGCGACAUCAAGAUGCACUCCAUUGAAAACUGGUAAUUGAUCUGUUCUGCCACGACACACUGAAACACCAUCCUUCCAUGCUGGAAUUGCAGGCAGAGUGGGAAUGACUGACUGUUAUGAAUGCUAUUUGCAGAAUACCAAUGCAGUGCCCUUUCUCCACUUAAUAGAAAUUUAGAGUUCUUCACAGGGUAAGUGACUGUGCAAUCAGAAUAAACCAAAACUCAUUCAGAAAGCUACGGUAAAUCCCAGCACCGAGCAAGGUAUCCCUCACCCGGGACCAGACAGCCAUUUAGGAGUCCCCAGUUUCCCUACACUCCUCCUGUAUCUGGCUGAAAUUCUCCACACAGGCAACUGAGCUGCCAGUGGCUGGUUCAGAGUGUUGGGCACACAGGGCUGAAGACAUCCAUAUUUGGUGGGACAGACCCUGGGUUAGUCUUCAAACUCAGGGCAAUUCUUUCAACUAAACUGGAGAUAUUCCGUUUUUAUAUCUACAUCCUUGCUGGCAGAGCUCAGCCUAUUGCAGAGAAAGAUUCUGAUCUUUCUUUCAUCCCCAUGGGACACUGACUUCAGUAAAAUACUCCAUGCUUCAUUUCCCAGUGUUGCAAAACAACUUAAUGGAUCACACACUUAGGGGAGCGUUUCCAUUAAUUUCUAGCUAACAUUCCACCUCUCAUAGCACCAAAAUGUCAGCGGCUUUAGCCUUUUCAAAGCAUUUCCUCCAAGAGCACACGAAGUAAAAAGAAGGCAACUCGCAGUCUUCCUUAGCUAGAUCCAACCUUAUGUCACCUCUGAGGAUGGCGGAAGAGUUACACAAAGCCCCUUUCACUUACCUUUCCUCUGAGCACUUAGCCCUUGAUGACUGACAUUUGUUUGUGUGUGGCCCUGAUCCUCUUCCUCUUUGCACAGAUAUCAAGCACGGAGCUUUGCUAUAGUUGACGUCAGUGGCAUUUUAUCAGCCAAAGAGCAGACAGAAGUGCAGGUACAGCUGACAGAGGAGGCAGGUUGUGCGAGCAAAAAUAUGCAUUUGCUGUUACCAAAAUGGAACUUAUGCUUGUCUCUUUGCAGCUAUAGUCCUUUGAAGCAUUACAGAACCCUGUGAUAACCUAGAUGUUAGAGACGGUAUAAUCACUUAGAGAGUUAAUGUGCAUAAACACAUAUAAAAUGAUUGUUUGCAUUAUUCUUGCACAGUCUUUGUACUGUAUUACUGCAUAAAUCAGAUCUAUUUUACUUUCAUUUGCUAAUCCUUCUACUCUUUUGGGAGCAUCUCAGUGAAUGAAUACACAUUCCAUAUCCUUACAGCCUUAAAAACAAAUGUAUGUUCACAGAUACAUCUUCGAGAAUUUUUUUGCCACAAAGCAUAUUAUUCAAUGUAAUUAUGUAAGAUGCAUGACAAAUCUGAGUGCAAAGGGGCGUGUCAGACAGCAAGUCUUAACAGGAAAACUCAAAGCUUACACAUAGGUCCUGUACUUCUUUGGUGGCAGCUGCAGUCCUCUGAAGGUCAUAAUCCGUCCUGUCUUGCUCCUGCUGGUACCCAAGAGCAUAUGGCAGCCUUUGCAUGGAUGAGACAGUCACAAGUCAUCCCCAUGCAGAAACCAGGAGAAAAAUCAGCAGGAUCAUUUGGAGCAUAUGGAUCCAACGAGGCUUGAAACCUGCCUGAGUGGAGGAGUACGGCAUGCUCAGCUGGUAGCAAACGGCUGUAUUUCUCAGAGAGGAUGAUCCUGCGAAAAGUGGGGUGGAAACUGGUGGCUCCCAGAGGGAUAAGGCUCAUGCUAGCUGGAAGUGAAGGCUACUUUAUAUAGUGAGAGGACAACCCAGAGGGAGUAUGUGAGAUGCUGCCUCAGUAUUAAGCAAUAAUUUAGCAGCCUCCUGUGGGGAAAAAUCCGUGUCACAUUAGGGAGAAGCUGCAUGGCAGACAAGAGAUGUGUUUACAAAUAUUUUUCCUUUGAUUAUUUAGAGACUUCUUGCAAAGCCACAUUGUACUUUGCUUUGGACACCACAGCAGACAAACACCGACUCAAAGGGUUCAUAAAACGCUAAAAGGGGCACGAAGCACACAUGGAAGUUCUUCUUGCAAGGCCAAAAUCCAAUGGCAGAUACAAAGUAUGUACAUAGUUUUCUUUCAUGAUAACAUAGUCCUGUCUGUGUUGGUUAUCAUGCACCCAGAGAGCUGCCUCGCAGGCACGCUGCAUCUUUUUGCCAGCCUUUGACUACAUUUAGCAUGUAGAACUGGUUCUGUACAGGCACACGUUAUAGAGGCACCAGCCCUCACCAUAUAGAACAGUUUGACAGUUCUUACUUGCUGCACUAAGGUCAGCCAUGGCUCUCUGUACAUAUUUGUAUUUCAAUCCUGGCCCAGCAGCCUUGCAGAUGGAUGCAGAGCUCACGUAUGGCAUGGACACCAGCGGUGCUGGGGAGGAGGGACUCUGUGGUGUCCAAAAGUGAUUAGCUUUACUUCCAAAAGGGGAAUUCAGAGAGAAAAUGCAUUGCAGCACUUGGUCCUGGCACUAGCUGUAAUGUAGAUGUCUGUCUGAUGGGCACUGGUCUAAGACCAACAAAAUGCGAUUCAUACAGGCCACUGAGCAGCUUCUCAUGUUAAUGACUUUUGAAUGCCAGUGGCCUGAAUUGCAUCUGUAUUUUAUUAACACUGUUUACAGAGGGAGUAGAAUUCCAGAUGGAGCAUAAAGUACCUUUUUUCUUGUUCUUCCCAUAAUUGCAAAUGCUCAAAUUGCACUUGUAGCUGUUUUAUGACUUGACAUUGACCUUACACUCUUUGCAUUUUCUACAGCGGAACACUGCAAUUUCUAGGGAGUAGAAAGGUUAUACAGAACUGGUCAAUGCUCUGUGUGAUGCAAAUAAAAAUAAAGUUGUGAGUGUUUAAGCAAGUAUUUCUUUCCAUUUGGUCUUUGAAUUUUUAUUGCUUCCAGCCAGGUCACUUGAAAUGAAAUUGUCCUUCACAGUUCAAGCUAUGGUUGUCUUACGGAUGGCAUAAAGACAGUGCUUUAAGGUCAUUAGAGCCCUGAAGAUGUUAGAGCAGUCCAGAUGAUUUGCAUCUCUAAGGGAAAGGCUUUUAUUUCUGAACUGUUCACCUAAUACUGAUUUGAAAAUGUACCUUUUUCUUCUUCUUCUCAUGAAAACGCCUGUGCCAAGAAUUAGAAAAAGCCUUACUUACAGCCUUGAUGCGUCACCUCUCCAGCAGCUCCCUGACCUGCUGCACUUUGGGUGGCAAUGAUGGCAAAGAAAGAAAGGAGCACUUUGGGCCUCAGAGCUACCAUCGAUCUCAGACAAGGUGAGGGGAAGGAGGCGGGUGCCUCAGCUCCAGAUCCGGGACCAGAUGCACCAUCUGCUUUGUACUGCACUAUCCUGAUGGGAAGACAGCCAUUUCCACUGACAGCUCUGGAGUGGAGGAGACUUUUUCCACUUUCCUGCUUGCUCCUAGUGGGGAAUGCUGUGCAGCCUCCUGGAAGUUGGAAUGCUUAUUGCGUGUGUUACUGAUGCUCCUGCACGUCCCCUGUCAGGUAGGAGUGGUGGUGCCUCUACACCUCAGCUUCCAUCUGCACCUUCCCUUUCAGCAGUGACCUUGGGGUGCGAUGGGAAAGCAUGGAAGUGCAGAUCAAAAACUCUUCAAGAAACGCAGCUAGGAAGCAAGCAGCAUACUGUAGUAUGUGGCUGCUGGAGCUGAGACACGACUGUCCUCUCUGACACGACUGCAGGGAAUCCGCGCAAUGCUUCUCAGAAAUAAUUUGUUUCUGCGCUGGAUCUACUUUUGCACAACGGGGAUACUUGCCUCUAUCAAACCGGUGGUCGAAAUCCGAGGUCGGCGCGUGCAGGAGGAGAGUGAACUUCCCGGGGAUGCCUUUAGAUGUCUCCCUUCCUCGUCUGUUCGGCGAUGACAGCAGGGGCUGGGCUGCCUGCGGGUUGGGCUGCAGAGCAGUCAGAUUGCCUCGGAGGGUAAACGAGGAUUUUUGAAAACCUUCUAAAGCAAAAGUUAAUGGAAAAGAGAGCCUCGUUGCUCACAGAUACGUCAUUACUUUCUCAGGCGUUUAUGAACAAAUAAAAUGCAUCUACUACAUGGGAGAAGAGUUCUUCCCCUGUGCCCCACGCUCCAGCCCUACCCCCAAGCAAUUGUCUUACUUAUUACAAUUUCAACAUCUCUUCUCUUUGAAGUACAACCUGUUGUUUCGUUAUAUUAUUUCCAUUCAUGCUGUGGAAAUAAAACUUACGACAGUGUCGAUUUCUCAGAUCCGCUUGUAGACUUGGAAAUUUGCAUCAGAUUAUUCUAAUCACUUAGCCUUGUUGUAUAUAUUUACACAAGCACUUUUGAUGUUUAAACAGACCAGGCUGUAAUGAGAUAGGCGCGGGGAAAUAAAUACCCCAAAGAAAAGGAAUGUUCUCUUUUUUUCAGGCCGCUUCCUAAACUAGAAAUGUUCAGCUAAAACAGUGGGUCAGUGCCUUUGGGACCUGAGGGAAUGACUCUAAGGGUGGAAGCACGGAGGGAUGGAUCUGCCUUCAGAUGCAGUGGGCAGAGAGAAGAGCAUCUGGGUGCCUGUGAGGGUGAGGAGCGUGCUGAGGACUUGUCCUUCUGUGCCCUUUGUUACAGCUGUAAGCCGCCUCCUUGGCCAUCCUGGCACAAGAAACUAUUCCACAUGAACCCUAGAUGUCAAUAUGCAGUGACACAAGUUUCUAGAGGCUGAGCAGGAAGAGGAUCAGCUCCACUGAUUUCAGUGGCAACAGUUGCAGACACAGCAAAAAGUCCUGGGACUGACUGUGGUGCAAUUGUGCUGGCUCAGCUCCAGACAUGCAGGAAGUCCUGCAGCAUUGUGUUCCUGCAGGCAGGAGGCCUGGUAAGCACAGCAGCCACACAAUCAGGUUAACUCAGUCUUGAGGCUGGCUCCAUUAGAUCAAGAACAACAGGCAAACAGAAGCAGCCCAUACAUAGCAAAUGUAGAAAAAGGUGGAGAAGUAGACCAGGUGAAGGAGAGACAGGAAUCUUAUGGACUGAAGAAGACAAGAAAUCUUACCCUAAGAUGCAGGAAAUUGCCAAUUGUUUCAUUUACAGUUCAGCUUCACAAAGGCCAGGGGAUCGUAUUUACAUUUGCAUGAUAGAACACAAAGAAUACUUGCAAUUCUUGAAAUAGCAGAAAGGGAGAACAUUCUGGAUGACCCUGUUGUUAACGUAGUCUUGAAGUGGAAUCUGGAACAAAUCAGCCAUUACACAAUAAACCACUCAAAAGACUACAAAAAACUGCGUGUCAGCACAGUUUUAAUUUUGUAACGGGAGUUAGUGAAGUUUGUGUGUAAGAACUUAAAGAAAGAAAAAGAGAAGCUUGUUCUGAGAAGAUGCACUUCCAUAAACUCAGUGACAGAUGAGAGCAGACUUUGUAACUCUCACACUGAAAGUGAUCUAUCCACUUAGACAUGCAAAUGUCAUUUUGAAUAAGUCUAACAUCUUGAAUUGUCAACGGUGGGAAGAGGUUUCUCUAAAGGCAAGUUGUAUUCUUCAGUUAUCCUAAGCUUGUAAACCAUGUAGAACCAAGGGGGAAAAAAAAGAACAAAAUUGAAAGAUUCUGCUUUACUAGCAUUUGGUGACUGAAAGAUUCCGCUUUACUAGCAUUUGGUGACUGAAAGAGCUCAUUAAGAUAACAUUUUCCACUUUAUAACCGCUUCACAAGCAAAUAUUCCUGGCAGCACUGCUCCUCUCAUACUUAGGGAUACUUUAAAGAGGAUGGCCAGGACCUUUGCCUGGGCCAGAAGAGAAGCAAGCGCAUGGCCAGUGCUGGCUGGGCAGUCUCUGAGCACAUUCCUCUGCCCUCCAUGGAUGCAGCAGCAGUAACACCCCAGGGCUUUCAUUCUAGCUGACUUGUUUUGUCUUAUUCCUAACUUGCAAGUUAUAUGCCUUGUUGCACCGGUAACUUCAUGAGACUCUGUGACCCACUUGAAGCAUGGUCAGAGACUAAUGGUCCCUCUUCACCUUAAAGGACAUGCACUUGUGAAAUGAUCAGAAGUACCAGGAGAUUCACAACUUUUCUCCUUCACAGAAGUAUGACAAGACAUAGAUAGCACACACAGUGGGAAUCAUGUCAUUUUCCCUCAGCAGCAACUGAUUCAGCAGCACCAUCUUGACCUAUGCCAGCUACUGCUUCAGCUCCUUGCCUGUAGGAGAGAGACAAAUGGACUUUGAUAGCUAUCCAACAUGAGCAGAACUCUCCCAUGGUGGACAGGUUUGGAAUACUCCAGGUCUAACAAAAUGGGAGCUCCUAUCAGUUCCACCCUGAGGUCUCAUGGAUGCCUCGAGUAGCUUUGCAGCUCCAUUGUGACAUUACACCAAUUUUCCAUCAUGACCAGCAUGAUCCUACUUGGAUAUUCCAGGUGGUGUCCUGUCCUUACCUCCUAAGGGAUAGCUCAUGUCUGACAGCAAAAGCAGAUUUCAAUGAUGUUCUUGAUUUAAAUCCAGAAAACAACAUCUUGAUGAACUCAUGCUCCUGGUUAUUAGUAGAGACUACCAGAUUGCUGCACAUCAGGGAGGGGAACUGCAUUUUCCUUCUCAACUUCUUGUAACCUAAAGGAGUAGAAAGACUGCUUUAUGCUUAUGGUCGAUAGGGUGCACGGUGUGCACAGAGAAAUCACACUUCAUCUUGCAAAUUUAUCAUACUAUUAUUCUACAGUUUUUCUACAGCUAAAACCUACAAGUUGCUAAAAUUGCUACCAUUGUUAAAUGCUACUCAGACCUGAAAUACAUCUAUAGUUAUCAAAACUGAGCUGGGAAGCCAAUGGGUAUAAGAGACCUAACUGUGAAUGUCUUGCUCCAGGUUACUUUCUGUAGUUGGUAAUAGAGAGAAAGAAAGAAAGAUUUGCAUUAGCAGUUCUGAUCCAAGCAGAACGUAGUAAAAUUGGGAAUCAUUUUCAUGUAAACACCUAAUUAAGCUUUGAGUUCUAGUUUAGUUUUGGAAGCAAGUUCUGAAGUACUUAUAACAAGGAUUAAAAGAUGUAACAAAGGGACAAGAGUCUUGAAACAGCUCCUGAAGUCAGGGUUGCUCACCUUUCUGCUUCCUGAUUAAGGCAAAGAUAACAUCUGCAAUAAACUGGAGUGAACUGAUUGAUUUGCUUGAGAAGUUUCCAAAAGCAUAAGUACCUUUUCCUGAAGCAACCUAUCGUGACAAAAAAAAAAUCCCUUUCCUCUUAAAAAAAAAAAUCACAUACAAAAUAUGCACAUUUCAGCACUUUUCCUCCCUGAGGCUUUCUCAGUCUAGGAAAAAAAAGAGAUGUUUUUUUCCAAUUGCCUGUAAAAGGUUUGCAUCUCUGCCAGGUGGUUUGCAUCUGACAGUCAAAUACUGCUGAUGAGAAUCAUCAGUUCCUUCAAGGACUUGACAUUGCAUCCAAUUUGUUUCGCAAGUGAGUGUGUAAGGAAGUGACUGCAGCUAUUAUUCUGUUAGAUUUAGUCAAAACAUCCCCAGAAGAGGUAGGAGGGCAUGCUGGGAAUUGUUUGAUGAGCCUGCUGGGAGAAUAAUUACAUGGCCAGCAGUUUGUUCACUUUAUCUUCUGUAGCACUUUCUUAGUGCCUUUUGUGUGGUUUGAGUACUCGGCUUUUUGAAUGAAAGAAUAUUUACUGCUAUUGUCUCUCCAGCUAAUUCCCAGAUUAUGCUGUCUCAGAUGUGCAUUCUGGGAUAAUUCUGUGUUACAUUAAGUAUUAUGAAAUUUAAAUAUUUUCUUCAAUAUUCUCUUCCUUACUCGAGAUGGAAUUUUCUGCACCAUAACUGUGACUGAACUGGGAAGAGUUGCCCUCUGAUUAUGAUGCUUACACAGACCAUAGGACCAAUUCUGCUGUAAUCUUGCUGCUCUGAGCAGGACGAAUGUCAAAACUUGCAACUUCAAGACAAUUUUUUGGGGUUAAAAUGGCACAUAUAAACGUUGAUUUUGUUUUUAAUGUAACGUCUUACAGCUUAAAGCUUUCAAGAGUAGCCUAGGUAGCAGGGAAACAAAGAUCUGUUAGAGUUUCAGUUUGUUUCAGCAGCUUUUGAAAAAAAUAAAUGGGUAUGAGCCCCUGGAAGACAGCAUGUGGAAGUAUUACCAAAAUAUUAAUUCUGAGGUGACAGGAAAAUCGAAAGCUAUGAAAGGAAUCACAUUUAAAACUGGAAACUGUGCUUAUUCAGCUGACUACAAGGGGGUCCAUGACAGCUGUGGGCGCCUUCUAUAAGGCAGGGAUGCAAUAAAAAAGGUGGUAAUAGCAAACCUCAUCCAGCAAUCCACCUUCCAAGAGCAGUCUGACUGCUCCUCUCUAGACCAGUUCUCUUCUCAGCUGCUGUUCCUGAUCCAGCAGACCUGUGUGUGUGUAUCCUAAGCCAUCAGUCUCACAUCUCUCUGGUGGGUGCAGUAUGUGUGCUUUUUGGCACUCCAGGAGGAAAUACAUGGCUGCACAUCCCUUGUUUUAAAUAAAUUGAAGUGAAUACAAAAGAAGGAGAAGAGAAAAGUAAAGGAUGUAAAAAUUACCAUACCAGAGCCUUUUGCUGCUAGAAAUAUGGAUAAAAAAUAUUGCUUGUGACUCCAGUGAAAUGAGCCUGCUCUUAGAAAGCCUUCUACAAUCUAUCUUGUUUGUGCACUUUAGACUUCAGAAGAACUAACCUUAUUGGAAUAGAGUUGGAAACAUUGGAUCAUUGGCCAAAGCUUUAAAGAAAAUGUUUCCUUGCUACAGAAAGAACAUUAGCAUUCUCACAAAGAAGGUUCCAUAGAAACAAGAAAUACAUUUUUACAGCAAAACUCCCUUUGAUGUGAAUCUUGAGCAAAGCACAAAAAAAAGGGCCAGUGGGAUUCUAUUUCCUUCUGUGUACGCUUUUGCAAUUCUUUUUUUUUUUUUUUUUUUUUUGCUAAUGGGCCACCUGGGAUAUUGUCUUUCUGGUGACUGAACUAAGGCACCUUAGCAGGGUGGGAGGGAUACAAAGGAUUCCUCAAAGGAACGCACUUGCUCUAAGCAGCUUCUCAGAGGGAAAUAUUUCUGUGUCUUUUACCCAUCUUUUCGGUUUCUUCACAAUGUCUCCUUCACCUUACAGUUGCACAGCAGAAGUGCAACUUGAAUUACCAGCCAGCAUCAGCUCCAGCAAUCUGCUCCUGACAGAAGCUAGUGCUGGAGAAAAAAAAUCAAGAAAUUACCUUACUGGCAACAAAGAAAUGUCAGGUCACUUACAUGACUUCUGAUGUACAUUUGUCCCAGUUGAACAGAACAAGUAUCAAGGCUAUGCAAUUACUGAAUGGUAAGCUCACCUAUAUCACUAAACACCUGCCAAGAAGAAUAUUGCAAAAAAAUCUCAAGACAUACAAGCUGGGCUGAAGAAGCAAUAGUUCCAGAAGGAGUGGAUUUGAAUGGUCAUUAUUGUUUUCAAGUUGGAAGGAACCCAUGUGGAUCUUUAUCAAACAGCUCUGUAACUGAAAGAAACAUAAAUACUGGAGAUGUAAAAAAAAAAAAAAAAGCAUAAUUUAAAAAAAUAAAUAAUCAGUAAGUGAAUCAAAACAGACUGUCAGAAAUGGAUGGGCAACUUCCACAGUUGUAUUGAAUUCGCUAUGCAGUUACCUUGUUUUUAAAGAAACAUUUCCUAGGUUCAGCCUUCUUGGGAUGCUGUAAACACCUGAGGUAAUUCAGUGGUUUGCAUAUAUCAAGGGACAAGUUUCACUUCCGUGGAAUUUAAGAGGGAAACUCCCAUUAACACACAGAAAAUUACAAAUGAAAUUUCAAGAAAGCUUAUAAAUCCAGUGGGUCAAUUUAGGUGCAUUUGUUCCCCCCAGACAAGAAGCAAAACUUUGAGGACAACUUUCCCACAUGCUCCCAACAUAGGAAUUAUCCAGAAGUGGUGAGUUAAUCAUAAAGCAAUUGGAUACUUUCACACAGUUUCUUAAUGUAUUUGAUCCACUAAGUUUCCCAAUCAAUUUCUUUUAGCACCUGAAAUGCAUAUAGUUCAUCUACCACUUAGAAAAUACAAAGGUUUUAGGAACUUUUUCAAACAUAUACUUUGGUAUUUAUACCAAGAAGUCAAAAGGAGCAGAGAGAACUUCUCCAGGUUGUGUUAAGAGAGCUAGCUGCCUUUGUAGCGUUAACAGUGGUAACUCAUAUACAGAAAAUGUAUUUGUGUCCAGUGGCAUUUCUAUAUAUCAAUAUUCAUUCAGAAGAAAGAAUACAAACAAAAAGCUGCACUCAGGAGAAGGAUUGAUGAGAGCCUGUAUAUAGUUACGUUAACUUCUAUAUCCUGGAACAGAUCUAAGCAUUUCAACGUCCUCAGUAUUCCUGUUGGUAACUGAGAAAGUUCUCUGCAAGUGAGAUAGAGAAUCCGACUGUUAGGUGCCUAGUUAGCUAGAAUGCCUCCCCAGAGCACUACAUAAUUAAGGGAGGAAAAGAGAGGCUGCAAUUCAUGAUCCUCACUUUCUUUGGCUACCACAUUGCUAAGUGGAGUUUAGGGUACCUAAUGCCGUGAAAUACCUGGCUUUCAAAGUGUCAAUUCCCUGAAUAAAUCAGUCUGAAAGAGAGCAUGUAACCAAUGUCACCUCCAAAUUACACUCUAAAUAUCCAGUUAAAUGAUCAAUUAAGUAAUGUUCCACAUUAAGGAACAGAAAGGAAGGGGCACAACAAUAAAUUUCACAAAUACAGGAAGUGGUGCCUGGGAAGGAUUGCCCACAUUAAAAAUUUACCAUCUAAUCCUCUGUCUGCUUGCCUCCCCUGACCAUGGCUGUUUUAUGGUUCAGUGUUUGGAAUACCAACAAGAAAAUCUUCAAAUUUCUAUUGCAGACCAUAACAACUUGGUUAUUUCUGAGGCACAUAAUGUUCAUUUACGUCUAUCAUUUCCAAUUCUCAUGCUACGAUUCACGCGCAUUCCCUUUUCUUUUUGAUAAUAGUAAGAAUAAAGACUUGCAUCUGAAAAGCUGUUCUGAAAGGCAGGCAACAAAUAGUAGAGGAUUCCCAAGCUGGACAGAAAGCAGAAUUUACUCAAGACACAGAUGUAACAACACCAGAUGUGUAGGUGUCUGGUCUAGUAUUAGAUAUGGAGGCUGGCAGCCCUGCCUGUGGCAGGAGGGAUGGAGCUUGAUGAUCCUUGAGGUCCCUCCCAACCCAAGCCAUUCUGUGAUUCUAUGAUCCAUCUUCAUAUUUUGUUUUUGAAGUUCUGAGCAAUAAAAGUUGUUUGUAAAACUA
ensembl:lncRNA